rnacentral:rRNA from 2 species
UUACGGUGCCCAACUACGCGCUAACCUAGAACCCACAAAGGGUGUUGGUCGAUUAAGACAGCAGGACGGUGGUCAUGGAAGUCGAAAUCCGCUAAACGGGUUCAAGAACUAUGUAGACAUGACCGAGACACCUCUCCGGUCAAUAACCAAGA